CACAGUACAGACCAAGGCAGACAGCCUGAGGAUCCUCCCAGGUUUGCUUCCCCUCAGAUUGAAGUCACGCCGAUGUCCUGCCUGUCCCUGGCCAUUCGGUGAGCCCAGGAGAACCGUGGGUUCCUGCUCAGGUCCUGGGCACUCCAGAGUUCCAGUUCUGAGGGACCUGCCACUCACAGGACAACCUCUACCACAACCACCACCCUGGGGACAGACAUUCGAUCCAGGUCGGGCCAGUCACCAUCCAUCCUGGGAUUUGAACAUCUAAGACCCAGGAAAGAGAACUGCUCUAUGCAGGUAGCUCUGGGCAGAGGAACCCUGCAGAAGCUGGUGGGUACCUUAUGCUGGCCUUAGAGAAGGAGGAGCAGAAGAGGAAAGAGGAGGCCGAUAACCAUGGGAAGCCAAGAAGACCCCUGGCCUCCCCCCGCCCCUGGUUGGUUUUGUGACCUAGUAACAUCCCCUUGUGCCUAACUGGCUCCAACUGGGGCUCCAACAUUUACCACCAUAAGGGUGCUGCUACAUCGUGGGCCUUCCAGACACUGGAGAAAGGACCCUCAGAGGUGUUUAGUAAAGUCUCCAUGCAGAGCCCAGGGGCCCCUGAUGGGCAUCCACUCACUUCCCCCAAGAUGG
rnacentral:lncRNA from 1 species